GAUGAACGCUGGCGGCGUGCCUAAUACAUGCAAGUCGAGCGAACAGAUGAGGAGCUUGCUCCUCUGACGUUAGCGGCGGACGGGUGAGUAACACGCGGAUAACCUACCUAUAAGACUGGGAUAACUUCGGGAAACCGGAACUAAUACCGGAUAAUAUAUUGAACCGCAUGGUUCAAUAGUGAAAGACGGUUUUGCUGUCACUUAUAGAUGGAUCCGCGCCGCAUUAGCUAGUUGGUAAGGUAACGGCUUACCAAGGCAACGAUGCGUAGCCGACCUGAGAGGGUGAUCGGCCACACUGGAACUGAGACACGGUCCAGACUCCUACGGGAGGCAGCAGUAGGGAAUCUUCCGCAAUGGGCGAAAGCCUGACGGAGCAACGCCGCGUGAGUGAUGAAGGUCUUCGGAUCGUAAAACUCUGUUAUUAGGGAAGAACAAAUGUGUAAGUAACUAUGCACGUCUUGACGGUACCUAAUCAGAAAGCCACGGCUAACUACGUG
rnacentral:rRNA from 1 species